CAAUGGUUUGAUUUGCCUUGAACACUGUGCCUGGAACCCUAAAAUGGGGACAGGGAAGGACCUUCCUUCUCCAAGGAAUUUUUCCUAUUUCCAAGGAAACAGGGAUGUAAACAUAAAACACAGCAGCUCAGUGAUGGGCACCCGAUGCUGUCUGCUCUGCAGAGACUCCUGAGGCCAGCAACACCCACCUUUCUUCAUUGUUGGUUCCUUACUGUACUGGGCUAGAGGAAGGUCAGACCUGGGUGGCAGUAAGUUUCAACGGAGGUGAUGAACCAAAUGGAACCAGUGGGAUAGUGCUGGUGGUCAUUCAUGAUGCUCAGCUGGAGAAUAACUUCAGUAGAUGGAAGAUCUUGUGAUUGGUGGGAGAAUCUAUAAUUGCACUAUGUGCUGGUAGAGCAUCUCUGGAACUGUGACACGUGGAGAGAUGAGAAGCUAAAGAACAUGACUGGAGCACAGUCCAGACCCAGACAUCUUUAUCUUUAUUGAGUCCUGAUGAAGUUUGGCUAUUAUAAAUCCUGAUUGAGUGCCAUGAUGUUUUCCAAGCAAAUGGGACCACUUUGUAAAAAGCAAAAGCAGCCUGUCACCAUGUGGAAGAGGAGGAGGUGUCGAUGGAGAGCAGCCACCAGCAUUUUCAGAAAGCGACAUGAUGUAACAGCCACUCUACACCGCCUCAUUUGUGCUGGAAAUUUUUAAAUAGAGAAAAAUAAUCCUGUACCAUUAGCAUAGCAACAAGUAUGUUCUUCGCAUAAUAAACUUGGUUCCAGGGAAGCACUGGGCUCCAUUUUGCUUGCCCUUCUGUCUCACCUUUCAUUGCCAAUGCCAUUGCUGUCCUAAUGGAAAGACAGCCUUUGAGAGAACCCUGCUGAUUUCUUGGCUGCCUGUUGGCAACAGAGGAGA
rnacentral:lncRNA from 1 species